GAGGAGGUCAAGGUGGGGGCGGGGAUACCAUAGUGAGUAGGGUAUCCAAUUUCCAAACCUGAUGUGAUCUCGCAGCUGGAACGAGGGGAAGAGCCGUGGGUCCCGGACCUCCAGGGCUCUGAGAAAGAAGUGUUCCCAAGAGCUGCCUUCGCAGGCACAGGGAGUG